rnacentral:tRNA from 1 species
GAACAUGACUCAAUUGGUAGAGUUCCUGCCUAGCAAGCAGGUGGGUCCUGAUUUCAAACCCCAGUAUGAUCA